rnacentral:rRNA from 1 species
CCCGGGUCUUGUACACACCGCCCGUCACACCAUGGGAGCGGGAUGUACCAGAAGUAGGUGGGCUAACCGCAAGGGGGCCGCUUACCACGGUGCGUUUCGUGACUGGGGUG